GAUGAACGCUGGCGGCGUGCCUAAUACAUGCAAGUCGAGCGAACAGACGAGGAGCUUGCUCCUCUGACGUUAGCGGCGGACGGGUGAGUAACACGUGGAUAACCUACCUAUAAGACUGGGAUAACUUCGGGAAACCGGAGCUAAUACCGGAUAAUAUAUUGAACCGCAUGGUUCAAUAGUGAAAGACGGUCUUGCUGUCACUUAUAGAUGGAUCCGCGCCGCAUUAGCUAGUUGGUAAGGUAACGGCUUACCAAGGCAACGAUGCGUAGCCGACCUGAGAGGGUGAUCCGCCACACCGGAACUGGAACACGGUCCAGACUCCUAAGGGAGGCAGCAGUAGGGAAACUUCCGCAAUGGGCGAAAGCCUGAAGGAGCAACGCCGGGGGAGUGAUGAAGGUCUUCGGAUCGGAAAACUCUGUUAAUAGGGAAGAACAAAUGUGUAAGUAACUAUGCACGACUUGACGGUAACUAAUCAGAAAGGCACGGCUAACUACGUG
rnacentral:rRNA from 1 species